CCCUUGGAGUGUUACAGCAAACGAAAGUAGUAUAUGAAAAUAUACCAAAUCGGACACGAUGAACAGGGAA
rnacentral:sRNA from 12 species